UACGAAGGGUGCAAGCGUUACUCGGAAUUACUGGGCGUAAAGCGUGCGUAGGUGGUUUGUUAAGUCUGAUGUGAAAUCCCCGGGCUCAACCUGGGAAUGGCAUUGGAUACUGGCAGGCUAGAGUGCGGUAGAGGGUGGUGGAAUUCCCGGUGUAGCAGUGAAAUGCGUAGAGAUCGGGAGGAGCAUCUGUGGCGAAGGCGGCCACCUGGACCAGCACUGACACUGAGGCACGAAAGCGUGGGGAGCAAACAGG
rnacentral:rRNA from 1 species